rnacentral:rRNA from 1 species
UACAGGGGGUGCAAACGUUGCUCGGAAUUAUUGGGCGUAAAGCGCGCGUAGGCGGCCGCUUAAGUCGGAUGUGAAAGCCCCUGGCUCAACUGGGGAAGUGCACCCGAAACUGAGUGGCUUGAGUACUAAAGAGGGUCGCGGAAUUCCCGGUGUAGAGGUGAAAUUCGUAGAUAUCGGGAGGAACACCGGUGGCGAAGGCGGCGACCUGGGUAGAUACUGACGCUGAGGCGCGAAAGCGUGGGGAGCAACAGGA